rnacentral:rRNA from 1 species
GACGAACGCUGGCGGCGUGCUUAACACAUGCAAGUCGAACGAGAAUCUGUUGGAUCGAGGAUUCGUCCCAAGUGAAGCAGAGGACAGUGGCGGACGGGUGAGUAACGCGUGAGGAACCUGCCUUUUCAGAGGGGGGACCAACCAGUUGGAAACGACUGCUAAUACCGCAUGAUACAUUUGGGUGGCAUCAUCUGAAUGUCAAAGAUUUAUCGCUGAAAGAUGGCCUCGCGUCUGAUUAGCUGGUUGGUGAGGUAACGGCCCACCAAGGCGACGAUCAGUAGCCGGACUGAGAGGUUGACCGGCCACA